rnacentral:rRNA from 1 species
AUUGAACGCUGGCGGCAUGCCUUACACAUGCAAGUCGAACGGUAACAGGUCUUCGGAUGCUGACGAGUGGCGAACGGGUGAGUAAUACAUCGGAACGUGCCUAGUAGUGGGGGAUAACUACUCGAAAGAGUGGCUAAUACCGCAUGAGAUCUACGGAUGAAAGCAGGGGAUCGCAAGACCUUGAGCUACUAGAGCGGCCGAUGGCAGAUUAGGUAGUUGGUGGGAUAAAAGCUUACCAAGCCGACGAUCUGUAGCUGGUCUGAGAGGACGAUCAGCCACACUGGGACUGAGACACGGCCCAGACUCCUACGGGAGGCAGCAGUGGGGAAUUUUGGACAAUGGGCGCAAGCCUGAUCCAGCAAUGCCGCGUGCAGGAUGAAGGCCUUCGGGUUGUAGACUGCUUUUGUACGGAACGAAAAGCCUUGGGUUAAUACCCUGGGGUCAUGACGGUACCGUAAGAAUAAGCACCGGCUAACUACGUGCCAGCCGCCGCGGUAACAC